UAUAAAUUUAUAGGCUAACUGUUAUUUGUGUAUUUGAAUUUCAAACAUUUUCAAACAAGAAACAACAUUUCGAAGUGAAUAUUUGAUGUUCUGUGUGAACGUUGUAAGCGGCUGUAGUGAUUAUCCCACAAUUUAAAAAGUAUACUUGUUGAAGUGAAGCAUGCUGGAUUCAUAUUGAAACUGAGAGGUUUAGGAGAGAAACGAAACAGUGGUUUCCUGUCUGAAAACAAAUUUAAAAUUCUCCAAUUGUAAUUGUCGGAAGCCAGGUGAGUAUUUGAAAGAUUUUAUUCACUAAAAUGGAAUGCAGUCAACGUGAGAUUGUUUCUGAAUAUGAAAGAAUGGGCAAAUUGUUGGGAGUUAAGCUUCAGAGAAAG